rnacentral:rRNA from 1 species
GAUGAACGCUGGCGGCGUGCCUAAUACAUGCAAGUCGAGCGAACAGAUGAGGAGCUUGCUCCUCUGACGUUAGCGGCGGACGGGUGAGUAACACGUGGAUAACCUACCUAUAAGACUGGGAUAACUUCGGGAAACCGGAGCUAAUACCGGAUAAUAUAUUGAACCGCAUGGUUCAAUAGUGAAAGACGGUUUUGCUGUCACUUAUAGAUGGAUCCGCGCCGCAUUAGCUAGUUGGUAAGGUAACGGCUUACCAAGGCAACGAUGCGUAGCCGACCUGAGAGGGUGUUCGGCCCACCUGGAUAGGAACCACGGUCCAAACCCCCACGGGAGGCAGGAGUGGGGAAUCUUCCGCAAAGGGGAAAGGCCUGACGGAGCAGCCCCGCGGAGGUUAUAAAGGUUUUCGGAUCGAAAAACCCUUUUAUUAGGAAAAAAAAAAUGGGGAAGUAACUAUGCACGUUUUGACGGAACCAAAUCAAAAAGCCACGGAUAAAUGCGU